rnacentral:rRNA from 1 species
AGGGAAUAUUGCGCAAUGGGGGAAACCCUGACGCAGCAAUGCCACGUGAGUGAGGAAGGUUUUCGGAUUGUAAAGCUCUGUCCUAUAGGAAGAACGGCUUUGGGUAACGCCAAAGUUUGACGGUACUAUAGAAGAAAGCACCGGCUAACUCCGUGCCAGCAGCCGCGGUAAUACGGAGGGUGCAAGCGUUGUUCGGAUUUACUGGGCGUAAAGCGCGCGCAGGCGGAUUGACAAGUCAGAUGUGAAAUCUCGGGGCUCAACCCCGAAACUGCGUCUGAAACUGUUAGUCUAGAAUCUCAUAGGGGGUAGGGGAAUUUCACGUGUAGGGGUAAAAUCCGUAGAGAUGUGAA